UCUCCGUUGGUGAACCAGCGGAGGGAUCAUUACAGAGUUAUCUAACUCCCAAACCCAUGUGAACUUACCAUUUGUUGCCUCGGCAGAGCCUACCCGGUAACUGUUCGGAGAAGCUACCCUGUAGCUACCCUGUAACGGCCUACCCUGUAGCGGGCUGCCGGCGGACCUCUAAACUCUUGUUAUACUAUUGUAAUCUGAGCGUCUUAUUUUAAUAAGUCAAAACUUUCAACAACGGAUCUCUUGGUUCUGGCAUCGAUGAAGAACGCAGC
rnacentral:misc_RNA from 1 species